rnacentral:rRNA from 1 species
UACGUAGGGGGCAAGCGUUGUCCGGAAUUAUUGGGCGUAAAGAGCGCGUAGGCGGUCCGAUAAGUCGGCUGUGAAAGUCAGGGGCUCAACCCUUGGAAGCCGGCCGAUACUGUCGGACUAGAGUCCGGAAGAGGCGAGUGGAAUUCCCGGUGUAGCGGUGAAAUGCGCAGAUAUCGGGAGGAACACCAAUGGCGAAGGCAGCUCGCUGGGACGGUACUGACGCUGAGGCGCGAAGGCCAGGGGAGCAAACGGG